rnacentral:rRNA from 1 species
CGUGUAGGCGGUUGUGUAUGUCAGACGUGAAAGCUCACGGCUUAACCGUGGAAUUGCGUUUGAAACUGCAUGACUUGAGUACAGGAGAGGAGAGCGGAAUUUCCAGUGUAGCGGUGAAAUGCUCAAAUACUGGAAGGAACACCGGUGGCGAAGGCGGCUCUCUGGCCUGAUACUGACGCUGAGACGCGAAAGCUAGGGGAGCGAACA